AGAAAAAGCUCUGUGUUAUUAUCAGGCAUUAUAAAAAGUUUUAAUCAGAGGGCGGGGAUUGGGGGAGGUGGAUGGAUGAUAGGGGUAUGAAAAGGAGGAAACCUGUUUGAAAAGGAAGUUCAUUAUUAGGUGGAGGUUUGUCCGGGAAAAACAUCCAGGAGCUGGAACUGAAGAUAAAUCCACCCACUUUGUCACCUUUCUGCCUCCCCAGUGUGUAUUAAAUCCAUGGAUCUCUUCUGUAGAAGGCAGAAGCAGAGCUCUUCCCUCUUACAGCAUGGGGUUUGUCUAUGUGGAAGUGGAUCAGAAUGUUGAGACCUAAAUUAGGAGACUUCCAGACUACAGUUGGAUGAAAAAUCCAUUUUUCAUUUUGGUGGCUGAACUAAAAAAGUGCAGGAAGAAUUUUGUGUGAAAUAGAUGCUUUUUUCUUUCUUCUUUUUUUGGCAAAACAAACAAAAAGCCUUGAAAAUUUCAGUUUGAUUCAAAAUGAAACUGUUGUUUGACAUGGUUAGAGGUUAUUUAACUCUUUAAAAACCCUUUUUUUCUUCCUUUUUUAUAAGAAGGGAUGAUUUUUAAAAUACAAAUUACCAUUCCAGAACUAAAAGUCAAAAUGAAAUGUUUUGACACAUUCAACAAUUUUCCACUAUUUUAUUUAUUUAAUAAUGAAACUAUCUGCCAGUCAUUGUAGUCCCUCUGGUCCCCCUUUAAAACCCCAUAGUUUGAGUGAUUUUAUUGUUCACUGAAAACAUUUCCCUCCGCCCUUUCAAAGCACGUACAAUUAGUACUUGUUGCUAGUCAAUGCACAAGGUAUACUGAACAAAAUCCAGGUAAAUAUUGCCUUUGUUUUUGUUUUUCCCCACUACCUGCCUCUCUGCUUGGGGACAAGACAGAGUGCAGGAACAGAGAGCACAUUUGAUUCAUGGCACAGUGUUAAUUAUCAUUAAUUUCCUGUACAUUCUUGAGUGCAAACAUGUUUACUGAGCCAUUCCUAAUGAUACAGAUCAUUCCCAACUCACUUGUCACUGGUCUAUUUGAAUAACUACAGAAGCAAUGAAGACACUCCUCUGAUAGUCAGGGAAACCCCCUAGCUUUCCUUCCCUCUUAUUCAGGGGGAUUUCCCAAGCUACUUAGAGAAAAACAAAGAUAAAUGUGUCUUUAAGCAUGACAGAUGUCUCCAGUUUCUCCCCUGUGCUUAAAAACUUAAAUUGUUUGCUAUAAAUAGAGUUGUUGAAAGGAUAAAGGAAAGGGUAAGCAGGCUGAAAGCAGUGAAAAAAUAGCCUUAUUGUGAGUGGUAUCUUUAAUAUAAAAACAUCCACAACACAUCAAUGUUAAUUGUACAUCAGAGAGUGUAGAGCAUAAAUGAAAGGGAAGAAAUUGCUUUCAGGUUUGUAUCUCUACACUCAGUUGGGGCCAAAGUGGGGAAAGGAAGAUAAGAGACAGAGGCCAAGAGGGGAAAUGUUUUAAGAUGAAAUCAUUACUGAUGAGUGUAAGCCUCAGAGAGUAAUCUGUUUAUGUGGUGGUGAAGUAGGCAUUAGCUGAAGGGGUUAAGUCCUUUUAGCUGUACAAGCUAACAUAACAACAUAGCCUCUCUAUGCUAGUAGCUUUAGGUGUUAGGAAUGUAAGAUGCCUCGAACCAUCCCAACACUGUGUCUCUUUUGAAGGCAGUUGUGGGGCAGUGGGGAUCGCUCCCCUGCUGGGCAGGAAUCGAUAUGACACAAGAUGGCAUUGACAGACAGAAGAAAAUGUAAUGUCAAGACCGGAAUGAAAAAUAAAGCUGUAAGCUCUCUUGGUUGGUCCAGACUGAUUUCUGACGUGAAGGUUUCCUGGCAUGGCUCCUCUCAAGAUCUGUUUUCUGGGAUUUUGAUUGUCACAUGAGUGGAAUGUAUUCAACAGAUGAAUUUUCUUCCAGACUAUGCUGUAAAUCUGUAAACUGCUGGAAUGGUUAUCUCAUCUCUGUUCUGCCCAUUUUGCUCUACAAGGAAGCUGGCUGCACCAUUGAAGAGAGGCUGGGAAGACCCCCUGAGUCACCAGACACAGUAAUACAGCUUGAGAUUAUCUCUACAGAAAGCAGUGGAGAAAUGCCAAAGUAAAGCUUCAGUGAGUGACAGGAAAAUCAGAUCUACGACUAAACCUGAAAGAUACACUCAGGGCAUGUCUACACUGUCAAAAGCCCAUGCAAAGGAGUGUUGUGGAGAAACAUAGCACACUGGCUCCAUGUGGCCAAAAUGGGACCUCUAAGUGCAAUUUACCUGGUCCUGAGAGUGAGUUUAUCUGCAUGCAGUGGGUGCUGCCACAAGGGACAACAUGACAUCUAUUUGGAGUGCUAUAUACACAGACAGAAGGCAUGGAAUGCUUCACUGUAGUGCUCUUACUGGCAGGGCUGGCCCAUCCAUGCCUGAGAAAGCUGCGGCCUCAGGGGACCCUGCAUCCAAGGGGCCCCAUGCAGCCAGCAUCCUCCCUAACUGGGAUGAAAGCUGCAGUUUUAAAUUCUGCCUCCAUUUUUGGCACCAAGUUUAAAACUGUGUCUUUUACAUUUGCUUCCCUGGUAGCUGGAAGCAGGAUCCCUACUCCACCAAUGGGCCUGGGGGAGGGAGGCAGGGCAGAGGUCUUGCCUGAAGAGCUGCACCUGUGGGCCAGGUGGUGCCUCUCCUGUGGGGGAGGGGAGAGCCCUGCCUUAUCUGCUCACUGCUGGGCCCAGCCCAGCCUGACCCCUGCAUCUGUGGGGCUGCUUGGGGCAGUCGGGCAGCUGCUCCCUGCAUGUGAGUGUGACGGUUGGUGGAGUGAGACUGAACUGCGGGCGGCUGCAGGGGGAUGGGGCGGAGAGAGGGCAGAGGGCUGUCUCUGGUGUGUGUGUGUGUGUGUGUGUGUGAUUA